AAUGAACGCUGGCGGCGUGGUUAAGACAUGCAAGUCGAACGGUUUUUCAGGUGUAGCGAAUACAUCUGAAAGACAGUGGCGAACGGGUGCGUAACACGUGAACAAUCUACCUUCAAAUGGGGAAUAGCUCGCCGAAAGGCGAAUUAAUACCGCAUACGGUUGCCUCUCGCAUGAGAGACAUACCAAAGUCAGGGGACCGCAAGGCCUGACGUUAGAAGAGGAGUUCGCGGCCUACAGCUAGUUGGCGA
rnacentral:rRNA from 1 species